UACGUAGGGGGCUAGCGUUGUCCGGAAUCAUUGGGCGUAAAGCGCGCGUAGGUGGCCUCAUAAGUCCGCUGUGAAAGUCAAAGGCUCAACCUUUGAAAGCCGGUGGAUACUGUGAGGCUAGAGUACGGAAGAGGCGAGUGGAAUUCCUGGUGUAGCGGUGGAAUGCGCAGAUAUCAGGAGGAACACCAAUAGCGAAGGCAGCUCGCUGGGACGUUACUGACACUGGAGGCGCGAAAGCGUGGGGAGCGAACAGG
rnacentral:rRNA from 1 species